rnacentral:rRNA from 1 species
UACGGAGGGUGCGAGCGUUGUCCGGAAUCAUUGGGCGUAAAGGGCGCGUAGGUGGCCCGGUCAGCGUGCGGUGAAAGCUCGGGGCUCAACCCCGAGUCGGCCGUGCGAACUGCUGGGCUCGAGCACUGUAGAGGCAGGCGGAAUUCCGGGUGUAGCGGUGGAAUGCGUAGAGAUCCGGAAGAACACCGGUGGCGAAGGCGGCCUGCUGGGCAGUGGCUGGACACUGAGGCGCGACAGCGUGGGGAGCAAACAGG